AUGGCAGUUAUCUAGUAAACCACCCACUCUUCAACAUAACAUUAUCAACAGUAAAUUCAGCAAUCCAUGACACAUUCUAGUGAACAGAAUAUUGUUUCAUCGAAUUGCCUAAUCGAUCAGACCGUUCAACCACCGGGAGAUCAACAUCAAGAUACGAACGAUCAGAUUGUUGUUUCACCCACACGCUCCUCGUAGGUAUAUUUACAAACAUUUCUUGGAUGACUUGUUCAUAAAAAGUUUUAUCAUAUAAGGCUAUAAACACAGUGCUGCUGUGAGCAUGUCACAAGAACAAAAAUAUCAAAGGCAGUGAUGAGAGGAACGUAGAGUUGAAGCAAAAAAAUCACAAACUUCUAUAGAACAUUUUCAUAGAACCUGAAAGGUUUACGCAUGUGUAUUGUUAACACAUUCCUUACUUUAC
rnacentral:lncRNA from 1 species